UACGUAGGGUGCGAGCGUUGUCCGGAAUUAUUGGGCGUAAAGGGCUCGUAGGCGGUUUGUCGCGUCGGGAGUGAAAACACUGGGCUUAACUCAGUGCUUGCUUCCGAUACGGGCAGACUAGAGGUAUUCAGGGGAGAACGGAAUUCCUGGUGUGAGCGGUGAAAUGCGCAGAUAUCGGGAGGAACACCUGUGGCGAAGGGCGGCUUUCUGGGCCUUACCUGACGCUGAGACGCGAAAGCGUGGGGAGCGAACCGGG
rnacentral:rRNA from 1 species